CGGCCAUUUUGUGCCUGUUUCCUGUGGGACGCGGCGGUGGCGGUUGGGUCUGAAGGGAGAGCGGUUUUGGCCUCGUUUUUCCUGUUCGUUUUCUCCUCCCUUUUACUUUGUCGGUAGAGCGCAGUCAUGGGUCGCAAGAAGAAGAAGCAGCUGAAGCCGUGGUGCUGGUAUUGUAAUAGAGAUUUUGAUGAUGAGAAGAUCCUUAUACAGCACCAAAAAGCAAAGCAUUUUAAAUGCCAUAUAUGUCAUAAGAAAUUGUACACGGGACCUGGUUUAGCUAUUCAUUGCAUGCAGGUGCAUAAAGAGACAAUAGAUGCUGUACCAAAUGCAAUACCUGGGAGAACAGACAUAGAAUUGGAAAUAUAUGGUAUGGAAGGUAUUCCAGAAAAAGACAUGGAUGAAAGAAGACGACUUCUUGAACAGAAAACACAAGCAGAGAGUCAAAAAAAGAAACAACAAGAUGAUUCUGAUGAAUAUGAUGAUGAUGACUCUGCAGCUUCAACUUCAUUUCAGCCGCAGCCUGUUCAACCUCAACAGGGUUAUAUCCCCCCAAUGGCACAGCCAGGACUACCACCAGUUCCGGGAGCGCCGGGAAUGCCUCCAGGCAUACCUCCAUUAAUGCCAGGUGUUCCUCCUCUGAUGCCAGGAAUGCCACCAGUUAUGCCAGGCAUGCCACCUGGAUUGCAUCAUCAGAGAAAAUACACCCAGUCAUUUUGCGGUGAAAACAUAAUGAUGCCAAUGGGUGGAAUGAUGCCACCUGGACCAGGAAUACCACCUCUGAUGCCUGGUAUGCCACCAGGUAUGCCCCCUCCUGUUCCACGUCCUGGAAUUCCUCCAAUGACUCAAGCACAGGCUGUUUCAGCACCAGGUAUUCUUAAUAGACCACCUGCACCAACAGCAACAGUUCCUGCUCCGCAGCCUCCAGUUACUAAGCCUCUUUUCCCCAGUGCUGGACAGAUGGGGACACCUGUAACAAGCUCAAGUACAGCUUCAUCCAAUUCAGAAAGUCUGUCUGCAUCUUCUAAAGCUCUGUUUCCUAGCACAGCACAAGCUCAGGCAGCUGUGCAAGGACCUGUUGGUACAGAUUUCAAGCCCUUAAAUAGUACCCCUGCGACAACUACAGAACCCCCAAAGCCUACAUUCCCUGCUUAUACACAGUCUACCGCUUCAACCACUAGUACAACAAAUAGCACUGCAGCUAAGCCAGCGGCUUCAAUAACAAGUAAGCCUGCUACACUUACAACAACCAGUGCAACCAGUAAGUUGAUCCAUCCAGAUGAGGAUAUAUCACUGGAAGAGAGAAGGGCACAGUUACCUAAAUAUCAACGUAAUCUUCCUCGACCAGGACAGGCUCCCAUUGGUAAUCCACCGGUUGGACCAAUUGGAGGUAUGAUGCCACCACAGCCAGGCAUCCCACAGCAGCAAGGAAUGAGACCCCCAAUGCCGCCUCAUGGUCAGUAUGGUGGUCAUCAUCAAGGCAUGCCAGGUUACCUUCCUGGUGCUAUGCCGCCAUAUGGGCAGGGACCGCCAAUGGUGCCCCCUUACCAAGGUGGGCCUCCUCGACCUCCGAUGGGAAUGAGACCUCCUGUAAUGUCGCAAGGUGGCCGUUACUGAUCUUACUUCAUCCAGUCUAAUAGGUUUUUAGAAGUGAAGUAUAGUAAAUUUGGUUCGUUAUAUUGUGAAGGCGCUGGAAUUACAUGAACAUACCACCUUAAUAAAGCCCUGCCAUAGGACAGACUGAGGCUGAGUCUCAGUGUUGCCCUGUUCAGUCUGAGGCAAGUGGGAUUUAUUUUAUUCCUUAUAGGGGCUUUCACAGCUUUAUGGCUGUUGGAUAUUUAUGUCCCCAAACUUGCAGCAAGUUUGGUGAAGGCCCCUAAAUUUAAUUAAACUUAGGAUUUUUAUACUCUUUUGGCAGAGAAGGCUCUAUAUUAAUAUUCACGUUUGACUGUGGUGUUAAUAAAUAUUUUAUAUAUAUAAUUUUGUGUAAUUUACUUUGUGUUGCGUAAUAUUUAAUGGCCUCAGUAAAGCUGGUAUUACUAUAUUGAACUUAAGAAAAUCGACAAAAUUUGACAUUCUUGAUUUGGAGGCAUGAAAUAUUUCAUUCAAAUUUUCCACUUCACUUUUAGGAAAAUCUUACUGGUUAUUUUCUCCUCAAACUAUUAAAUUUAACUUCAAGGAUAAGUUUAAUCAUUGGAAAUGCCACUGGAUACUGAAAUCUGCAUUCUUAAUCCCAAAGUUAUGCAUUGAACAUUAAGGUUGAAAAGUCAUCUGGAAAUGCUUAUGAUUUUUGAUAUUUUCAAACCUCACCACAUUAGAGCAAAUGUUAAUGUAGAGCCCUGUGAAGAGUGGGAAGGUUGUGUGUGUGUGGUAUGUAUGUGUAUACACUACACAUUUGAGAUAAAAGAGUUUGGGUAUUACCGACCUGAGAGUGGCUAGAUUACUAAUUUUCAGGUAGCCAAACUGAAAUUUGGAUCCGUUUGUGGUAAAGUUAGUCUUUUGAACCUAUGGUUUUGAAACGAUUUUGAGGUUCAUUUUCAGCCCUAUUGAACAAUAUUUUAUGCAGUAUGCACACAUGAAAACUAUCCAUGUUUGUUUCCAACUAAAAUUUUCUCUUAUUUGGUGAGAAAAUUGUGUGUAUGUUAUAGGGGAUAAAGAGGGAACUGGAAGACAGGCCAAAACAUAAACCUGGAUUAUUUUUGUUUUUUCCUGUGUUUAAGUCAUCGUUCUACUCAGAUAGCAUUUUCUGCUAAACAAACAGUAACAAGUAACAUACUACAACAUUUAGCAAACCAAGGAUUGUGUUUCUUUGUGGUUUUAAUUUUUGGAAACAUAAAAAACAUGCAGUAAAUAAAUUCCAAAUUUUCACCUGUUUGAUUAGAACAUGUUUUUCUGUGUAACUGAAUCAUGGAAAAAUAUUUUAAUGUUUGAAAAAACAAUUUUGUCACAGCAAAAAUACUCUAUUGGGAUAUUUUAUAACCGACUCAGUAAUUACACCUUUUCUGUGCACCCACCAUCCCCCAAUAUACUGAAAUAUUUAAGAGUGAAGCUGCUUGUCCUAAUUCUGAUAGUGAUAAUUGAAAUAAUAUAACUGAAAUAGGCUCUUACAUAACUUGAGUACUGGAGGUGGGAGGGAUUUUCUAAGGGUGGCAUAAUUUGUUAAAGGUGAUAUAGAUACCUAAUUUAAAAUGUAGUUUCUUUGAUAUAUCUGUAGUUCUGUGACUCAGACAAAUAUGAUUUUGAGGAUUACAUAACUUUUGGGUAUCUGUUAUGUCCACUGGCAAAACUUGGUAAAUGAAAAGAAAUGUUGAAGUCACUUCUUUACUGAGAUAAAAUUUUGUUUGAGUAGACUGACAUUUGUAUUGGUUAGGGAUUAGAAAUAAUAUUAAACAUGUACCCUAAAAUUGUAUAUAAAUCAGGUAUGUCUUUUUGAAAAGGUAGUAGUCACCGACCUAAUAUUGAAUAAUUUUUGUAUGUUAUUCUGAAAUGAAACUGUUUUCUCUUACUGUAUCUUUUAUGGAAAAGUCUUCUAAAACAAGGGAUUCCGGUAUAAGACUAUUGAUUAUAGGGCAGGUUUUUGUAAGUAAACAUUACCCCAGUUACACUUCUGCUAGCUGUCUCAUGACUUGAAUAGUAGUGAAGGUUACUCUCCCCCCCCUCAGUAUUUUCUUUUCUGUCAUCCGAAUCAUUUUAAUAAAUAACCUUUUGUUUUUAUAGUGCAGAAAUCA